rnacentral:rRNA from 1 species
UACAGGGGGGGCAAGCGUUGUUCGGAAUUACUGGGCGUAAAGGGCCCGUAGGCGGCCAACUAAGUCCGACGUGAAAUCCCCAAGCUUAACUUGGGAACUGCGUCGGAUACUGGAUGGCUUGAAUUCGGGAGAGGGAUGCAGAAUUCCAGGUGUAGCGGUGAAAUGCGUAGAUAUCUGGAGGAAUGCCGGUGGCGAAGGCGGCAUCCUGGACCGACAUUGACGCUGAACGGCGAAAGCUAGGGGAGCAAACGGG